UCCGGAGGAGGGAAUCGUUAUACGGAAUUAUUGGGCGUAAAGCGUCCGUAGGUGGUUGACCAAGUCUGCUGUCAAAGGGUGGGGCUUAACCUCAUAAAGGCAGUGGAAACUGGUGAGCUAGAGUGCGGUAGGGGUAAGGGGAAUUCCCAGUGUAGCGGUGAAAUGCGUAGAGAUUGGGAAGAACAUCGGUGGCGAAAGCGCCUUGCUGGGCCUGCACUGACACUGAGGGACGAAAGCUAGGGGAGAGAAAGGG
rnacentral:rRNA from 1 species